rnacentral:rRNA from 1 species
CCUACNGGUUGCAGCAGUGGGGAAUAUUGCACAAUGGGCGCAAGCCUGAUGCAGCCAUGCCGCGUGUAUGAAGAAGGCCUUCGGGUUGUAAAGUACUUUCAGCGGGGANGAAGGCGAUAANNUUANUAACCUUGUCGAUUGACGUUACCCGCAGAAGAAGCACCGGCUAACUCCGUGCCAGCAGCCGCGGUAAUACGGAGGGUGCAAGCGUUAAUCGGAAUUACUGGGCGUAAAGCGCACGCAGGCGGUCUGUCAAGUCGGAUGUGAAAUCCCCGGGCUCAACCUGGGAACUGCAUUCGAAACUGGCAGGCUGGAGUCUUGUAGAGGGGGGUGGAAUUCCAGGUGUAGCGGUGAAAUGCGUAGAGAUCUGGAGGAAUACCGGUGGCGAAGGCGGCCCCCUGGACAAAGACUGACGCUCAGGUGCGAAAGCGUGGGGAGCAAACAGGAUUAGAUACCCCUGUAGUC